GACGACCGUUGCCAGCGUCUCCUUCCCUAACCGAUCGUCCUUCCUCGGCUCCCUCAUUCCAGUCUCGUCCGGCGUUCCUGUCUGUGCUCGCAUUCCUCUCUCUUUCUCUCGUUCGUUCUCUCUCGCGUGACGGGCCUCUGCGAAAUCCUCUUGGGAGAAGUGGAUUCUUUUGCCUUGGAGCAAAGUGCUUGUCUGAGGAUGUUGUCUAACGACGAUGAAUGGGGACACUGGUCGGUUUGUUUCAUAGAACAAAGCGUUUGGGCUUUCCGGAGGACUGAGGAUCUGUUUUUCUGUCUUUUGUUGGUUGUGAUUUUGCCGGGCUUGAGAAGUGGUGAUCUGUUGCAUUAUUUUUGUGAAAUCGAGUUGAUGAUCUCUGACAAUCAUCGGAUAAAGCUACCUCUUUUCCAGACAGUUACAGUGUUUGAAUGGAGGUGCUUGCUCCAGUUUGGAGCGAUCUCUUCAGAUAAGUGUGUCGUGUGAAGAUGGUAUAGGAUUCUGUGAUCGAAGAAUUCAAGUUUGACAAGUGAGUGAAAACUGGAGGCAGUCACGAUUAGUUGAGUUGCCGAAUCAUCUUCUUUGUGGAGAGGAGCCAUCAGCUGAAAUUUGGUCCUUCUAAUUUGGAAUGUCUAUAGCUGCUUGAGAACCCGGAUGGAUCUGGUUCUAUCUUUAAAGGAGAUGCACAGAAUGUGUAUAUGCAUGGAAUGUGUAGUUCUCCUCUUGUAGGUUGGACUCUUCUUGCUGCAAAUAAUGUUGCGUUUCUUGUCUUUGUCUGCAAAAUUCACUGGAUAAACUACAAUUGAAUUGUGUGUCCAAAGCUGGUGCUUUUAAAUCGUGCUUCCAAUUGUAGUUGUUGCUUUCUUGGUCAUUAGGUGGCACACAAUGUUGGGAGUUUGACUUUAUCAGAUGGUUAACCCUACACUUACGAUGUGGGAUAUUGAUUGCAGUUAUUCACUAAUUAUGGCAGAUCAGAUUAUCCAUAUCUACAUUCAAUUUGUUUGGAUCACUCUGUAAUCACUCUCCCAGGGAACUCUCUCUUCUGGAUGCUCUUAUGUUCUCCUGAUCUAAAUUAGCCUCACAAAUGAUUUUCCAUAUCUUGUUUAUUGACAUUGUGAAUUACUUGGCCACAAGUUUCCUCAAUCCCUGCACAUGGACUCUCCAAUUACUCUCCAAAACUUGUUAAGCAGUACCAAUUUCUUCUCAGGAAGCUGGCAUUGAUAAACCUUCAAACUACAUCUGCAAGAAUCAUGAAUGUGGGAAUUUGGAUGAUGUGGAUGAUGGUUAAGAUGUUUUUAUCACCUUUUAUCCACCUACUCUUUGAUUGAGAUGCUACGCUGUUGUUUCUUUUGACAGGCCGUAUGAUGUUCGAGCUCUGAAUAAGUUAGCUGAUGUUGAAUUUGAGGAUAAACAGUUCUCAAGACCUCGCAUAGGAAUUCACACUUCCUGCACAGGAUUUGUGGAGCUGCUCUAAUUUGUUGUCGGGUUCUUACUUUGUCGAGCAAAUUUUUGCGAUUUUAUACAUUAGGACAACUACAACAAUUGUGAUUGGCUGAAUAUAGAUCAAUCAUAAUUGGGCAGAUCUUAGGACAAGCUAUAACAGGGGAAUGGUGACAGCAAAUCCAUCAUAAGUAUGGUUCCUGGCAGAUUUGAGGUCCCUUCUCUUUACAUUCUCUCUGCAUGAUCAUCUCUUUCUUCGGAUGACAAAGUGGGAGAAGUGGGUUGUCUUGCCGAUUCUGACUCUGUUUAUUUGAAGAAACUGGGACUUUCUAUUUGCAUGUCCCUGUCUUGCUGAUGUUGAAUCUCUAGCAUGGCGCAUUGAUAUGUGUGCUCUCAGCUCCUUCUUCAUCAUUGCUGACAAAUAUCGAGCAUUGUUGAUAAUGGAAUGCCACAGAUUUUGCUCUUUCUUAUAUAUGGUUGCGUAACUGGGCUUAACUGCAAGAAGGUAUUGUCAAUCCAACAUUACUGAACUGUUCGCAAACUUUCUGCAUAUCCAUGUUGCUAAGAUUUGGAUAGGUUAGUGAGGUCAUGUUUCAAUCUCAAGUUCACUUGACUUGGCAGAGGUGAGAUUUAGAAUGACAGUCCUCUGUACUAGCUUAUGUGCUGUGAUUCUUAUUUUGGAUUAUACUUCCAAUGUCACGUUUGUUUACAUAUUUAAAAAGAAGUUUCUAUGGCAAAAGAAUUUUUUUGCAGAUUAUGCAACUAUAGUGCCAACCUUAGGAAAAAAUGGAAAAUUGCAGCGAGGAAGGAUAUUCUCAACAAUGGGGUGGCCAUUGAAUUUAUUAGAGCGCUAAUGCUGAUAGCUUGGCUAGAGAGAAUCCAAAUUGUCUGAUUCAAAGAACAAUAUCUGUUGCAGAGCACAUCCUAUUUGUGGUUUAAAAUUGUCUGCUCUUUUGAACACUUCUGUUUUCUUUUGUCAUAGUUAAGUCACCAAAACAUCUAGAAGAUAAGAGUUAUCGGGCUUUCAUUGUGGUGUGGCCAGAUAAGAGAAGAACCAGAUCCUUUUGUUGCUGCUCAAGUAGUGAUGGAUGCCUUGAGAUUGCAGGAACAUGUGUUGCCAAGGGAGCAAUAGACUUGUUUUUGAUCUGUGGGUGCAGUUCAUACUGGCCAAACCACUUAACCAUGCUUUGUUUAUAUACGUGUGGAUGGUUUAGGUUAGAUGAAAUGACAAACAGAAAAAUAAACAAGUCCUUUGGUAGUUGUUCGAACCAAAUUAAUCUAUUGCUUUUCUGAAAGGGUGAGUCCAGAUGGUGAAUGCUUCCAAUUGAUUCUAGUCCCUUCAAUUUUCAUCAAAGAGGAUGUUAUUCAGUUCUCUUUCUUUUGUAGGUCAGAAUUAACUACGAUGUGGAGUGUUCUUCAAUCCGCAAUGGCUUUUUCUAGCUGGAUAUUAGAGUAAUGAUUUGCUUGGACAAGAUCUUGAUUCUUUGGCAUUUUUAUAUUAGAGCCUUUCUCUGUGGGACUGGAUGAAGAACUUUUCAUUGGCUUGGUACUAUGACUGGUAUGCUUUCUAUUAAUGAUAUUUUGUUUGGUACUAUGACUUUUCAUUGGCUUGGUACUAUGACUGUCGCAUCGCUUUCAAUUCCCUCGGAUUCUCCGCGAGCCUCUUGCACGACGUUGUCUCCGCAGGGAACCCUCGACGGCAACCUUCCGAUUCCACGGGCUGGCUUUAUUCUCAAGUCUGACUUUCGUGUUCGGUCUUCGUUUUCAAGUCGUUUGUUGGCGAGCGAUGGCGAGAAGAACCCGCCCCAUUUCUCUAUCACGUGUGAGGCCACUCCGACGAAGAGGUCGGACUCCGCCGCCAAGAGGGCUCGCUAGGCCGAAAAGAGGCGCAUUUACAACAAAGCUCAUAAAUCUGAGAUUAGGACGCGUAUGAAGAAGGCGUUUGUUUCGGUUAAUUUGAUUAUUGUGCGAAGCAUUCUAUAAUACGCGCUAUCGGACCCCCGUCCUUCGGUGAAAUCGUCCGAAUGAUUUUUGCUGUAUAUGCUAGGGGUGGUGGUUCUGCUACAUCGGAUAUCUGAUUAGGU